CCUACGGGGGGCUGCAGUGGGGAAUUUUGCGCAAUGGGCGAAAGCCUGACGCAGCAACGCCGCGUGAGUGAUGAAGGCUUUCGGGUCGUAAAGCUCUGUCAGGUGGAAAGAAGUGUAUUGUGGUUAAUACCCAUGAUACUUGACGGUACCCCCAAAGGAAGCACCGGCUAACUCCGUGCCAGCAGCCGCGGUAAUACGGGGGGUGCGAGCGUUGUUCGGAAUUAUUGGGCGUAAAGCGCGUGUAGGCGGUUUGUUAAGUCUGAUGGGAAAGCCCCGGGCUCAACUUGGGAAGUGCAUUGGAUACUGGCAGACUUGAAUACGGGAGAGGGUAGUGGAAUUCCUGGUGUAGGAGUGAAAUCCGUAGAUAUCAGGAGGAACACCGGUGGCGAAGGCGGCUGCCUGGACCGAUAUUGACGCUGAGACGCGAAAGCGUGGGUAGCAAACAGGAUUAGAUACCCCGGUAGUCA
rnacentral:rRNA from 1 species